GGUGCUGUGGCUCAAAAGGGUAGAGCGUUGGCCCCAUAUGCCAUAGGUGGUGAGUUCAAACCCAGCCCUG
rfam:Otolemur garnettii contig059879, whole genome shotgun sequence.